rnacentral:rRNA from 1 species
GUAGGGUGCAAGCGUUGUCCGGAUUUACUGGGUGUAAAGGGCSCGUAGGCGGAUUUGUAAGUCAGUGGUGAAAUCCUGUAGCUUAACUACAGAACUGCCUCUGAUACUGCAUAUCUUGAGUUCGGAAGAGAGAAGCGGAAUUCCAGGUGUAGUAGUGAAAUACGUAGAUAUCUGGAAGAACACCAGUGGCGAAGGCGGCUUCUUGGUCCGUAACUGACACUGAGGCGCGAAAGCGUGGGGAGCGAACAGGAUUAGAUACCCUGGUAGUCCACGCUGUAAACUAUGAAUACUAGGUGUUGGAUGCAUUUGUAUCCAGUGCCGCMUAACGCAUUAAGUAUUCCACC